UAAUAUUUAUCUUUUCAAAUGUACGUUACUUGUCAUAUUUGUUUUAGGUCUGAGUUCUGUCUGUGAGUGUGUGAGUUUUGGUUCCACGACCUACAGUGUUUCCUAUAUUUUCCUUUAGUCAUAAAAUUAUUUAUGUUGUCUGCAUGAGUGUUGAAAAUGAAGAUACUGACAAUCAGUGAAGGAAGAAAUUGUAGAUUAUGUCACUAGAGUUUUUUGAAGCAAUCUGAUAAGAUACAUGCUAUCAUAGUACAUUCCUAAUAAGUGUUUUGGUUUGCAUAAUGCAAUUUCAUUUAACAAUGCUGCAUUGCUCUAUUUUUUUUCAUAGUUUUAGACUAGAAUUUAUAGAUUUGAAAAGUGUACUGUACAAUUUGAUUUUCUGGCAUUACAUUGACGAGGGAAGUUUUAGCUGUGAGUUUUCUGUGUCCUGUUUUAAGUUUUAGCAGAGCCAAAAGAGUUUCUUUUUUAUUUUCAGUGUAAUCUGGAUCUUUGUGGAUGUCCGCUGGUUUGGUUGGUUGAAUUACAAACCCAUCACAUGUCUUUGUCUCUGCUGUGGCUUUGCCCUGAGAGCAAAGGCACAUUUUCAGUGUGAACGUCUAUACCAAAACUAGUCAAAAUGAACCAAAUAGAUACAAAACAGAAGUACAUAGUUUGCGACACAAUUUUCUUUAUUCUAUUUUUCUUAUGUUUUUAAUAAAUUACCAUUAGUUCAAAUCGUGUGCAUGUAGAUUUUGGGGAGAUACCAGAAUGUUCAAGAAUACUCAGAAUGAGUCAGUCAGUUGUAUGUAUAUUGAGAGAAGGCAGACGUUGCAUUCUGUAUUAAUGUUGUUCAAAUAAAUGUUUCUGAAAUUAAGAAAGGUUCUGGUCAGUGUUUGUUUUUAAUAGCAGCAUGUUCUCCUUCUGCUCCCUUUUUACCUCCAUGUGUUCUUCCUAAACAUCCCCAAUUACCAGUCAUACGAUCCACCACAGUAAUAAAAGAUUUAGUCACAAAAGAUAACACGCAAACACACAAGCCCUACUCACUCCACAUACAUAACGCGAUCAACAACUUAACUCAUAGACAAGGAACAGUAAAAGCCAGGUUAACUAGCCCUCUCAGACACACACUGUGCUUUGCCAUGAUUAGUACAGUACACCCCAUGGACACAGCACAGUCAUCAGCUACUGGCUGUUCUCCUCGGAGGCAAGCGCGCAGAGCAGCGGCGUAAUUGGAGAAAGAGCACUGCCAUAGUUUGCCCGCAUUCCAGCCACUGCCUGAUAUGGACAGAGUGGUAAAGGGGCAGCCCCUGGGUGCCUGCCAGUAACCAGACACCCACCCGCCAAGCAGCGCUGCUGCCUGCCGCCACCAUUGCAGCCGUUACACCCUCUCACCCACCAACAGGUCACCGGGGAGGAUUACGGUACAAGGCAACUGCACUCUCCUGUGCCUCGAGAGAGAAGAAGAAGAGAAGGGAGGAGGGACAAGGAGGAACGAAAGGCAAGAAGGGAAACAGAGAGGCAGGAAGGAAGAAAAAGUGUGUACGACUGGAAGAGGACUGACUGCCAAACCAGUUACCAUUCCAGUGGAUUCCUCCUCUCUCUCUCUCUCUCUCUCUCUCCUUCUCUCUCAGUCACAUCUGUAUGCACCCUACUGCUCCAUCCCCUCUUGUUUCUCUCGGGGUCUUCUGUAACGUGUAGCACAGAGGCUGAGGACCAUGUCGCUGCCCCUGGAGCUGGGCCCCUACCACCGGGACCAGGCCCUGAACACACUGGAGAGGCAGCUCAUCUGCCCUAUCUGCCUUGAAGUUUUCACCAAGCCUGUGGUCAUCCUGCCCUGCCAGCACAACCUCUGCCGCAAGUGUGCCAACGAGCUCUACCAGCCGUCUCUGUUUCAGGUUGGUACCGGUGGGCGGUUCCGCUGUCCCUCCUGUCGGCAUGAGGUGGUUCUGGAUCGGCAUGGCGUGUACGGACUACAGCGCAACUUACUGGUGGAGAACAUCAUUGAUGUUUACAACCAGGAAUCUGCUUGUUCCAGGCCCCUGCCAAUAGUUCCAGUGCAACUGACCUGUGAGGAACAUGAGGGCGAGAAGGUCAACAUCUACUGCAUCUCCUGCAAAGUUCCCACCUGCUCUCUCUGCAAGGUUUUUGGAGCCCACAAGACCUGCCAGGUAGCCCCUCUGGCAGAGGUCUACCAGCAGCAGAAGGCUGAACUCAAUGAUGGGAUCGUCUCAGUCGUGGCCAGAAAUGACCAAGUCCAGGCUGCCAUCAGUGAAAUAGAGGAGAUCUGUCAGACAGUAGAGGAGAACAGCAAAACCCAGAAGCAGGCUCUUUGUGAGAAGUUUGAACGUCUGUCUACUAUCUUAGAAGAGCGCCGGAAAAUCAUGAUGCAACACAUCACUUAUGAACAGGAUGAGAAGACAAACCAUACUCGAUCUCUGGUGAGGACCUAUGGAGAGCAUGUGGACGCUAACACCAAGCUGGCGGAGACUGCCCUGCACACCAUGGAGGAGCCUGAAAUGGCUGCCUUUGUUCAGAACGCAAAGAUUCUUAUUGAGAGAGUCAAUGAGGCUGCCAACGCCUAUGUUGUGGAAAAACUUGAGCCUGGCUAUGAAAACAUGGACCACUACAAGGCGGAUUUCAAUGCAGAGGAGAGGGCUCUCUCCCAACUUGACUUCGUCAAGACUGAAGAAGAGGAGGAGGUGCCAGAGGAGCAAGAGCAAGAGCCUGAGACAGAACCUGAACCCAUUCCAGAACCAGUGGAAGAAUUGGAACCAGAACCAGAGCCUGAAGCCAACCUUGAUCCCAUCUUAGAUCUUCCCCCUGAGGCAGACGAUACCGAACCAGUAUUGGAGCUGAAGCCUGAGACGUGGGCCAUCAAGGACUCAGAGGAAGAGGCUAGGGAGGAGGUUCGGGGCGAGGCCGAGGGUUGCUCAGACCCUAAAAUGGCGGAGCUUUGUAUACAAGAAGGGAUAAGCACCCAGCAGGCUGUCACCUUCUUCUUUUACUUCCUGGCUUUGAUGGUCAUUCUUCAGCGGGUUUGGGGGCACAUUCAGUGCAUCAUUUGUACAUAGCAGAGAAGGAAGAGCCAAUUUUCCAGGGUCACCCCCCUUCAGUGGGACCCCAGGACGGGAGAGUGAUGGAGCAGAGCAUUGGGUCAGCUUCUGACCCCAGCCCUGGUAACCCCUUGUGGCUGGACAUGUAGGGUGACAGGGCAGACAGGCAGGUCAGUCAGUCUUUAGCACCGGCAUACCCUGUGCAGGCAAGGCCCAGUCUUCCUGCCAGCAGUGAGUCUGCACGCCUGAGCUUCUCAUUCUCCUGGCUGAACGCUCUCUCCAAAAAGGCAAAGUAGUGAGAGCCUUGUGUCAAGCAAUGCCCCGCACAGACAUCCAUGAAGGGCAAACUGUAAAUGAAGACCUGCAGGUGAAAGUAUGCUGAUUCCAGCCAGUUCUUGUUCUGAAGAAGACCUGUCUAUGCUUGUACUUUUCUGCAGACAGUGGAACAGACAGAUUAUUUCUUGCCCUCUAUUAUGAAUUGUCAAAUCGAAUAAUUUCUUUUUUAUUCUUCCGACUGACCUUAGAAAAAUGACAUCUUUGAGUUUUUAGCUAUCCAUAUGCAAUGUGCACAUUUACUAUUAUUAGGUACGGAUUUGCACCUUCCCCGAGAUGUAUUAUUUGAUUGCUGUGUUCAAUAUGUCUCAAUGUUUCUGAGCUAUGGCUAUUCUAGGCCCACUGUUUGGGCCAGUAUUUUUCAGUUGUUUUAGAGACAUACACCGUAGUUGAUAAUUAAUAGUUCCCUUGAACACAUUUUCUCUUAACUCUCAUUGAUGAUUUUAUGUCUAUCAGUACAAGAUGUUGAAUGUGUGAUGUCAUUCAGUGAUUGUAGAAUAAAGGGCAUGAACCAUAAA